AAAGAAGAGAAAAUAUUGAGAUAAGAUUUAACGUAAUUGGCAUUCGUCUGAGUUACUAGUUUUCAUUAAAUUCGAUGGAGAGGUUAAAGGCGUCGUUCGCAAAUGCCUGUUCGAAGUAAAGGGAAAAUUGCUGUAAAAUGCGAGGAGAGGAGUAGUGGCGGGUAAAGGAGGCCAAGAACAACGGGGCUUGCUCGCGCAGUAACUUCGGAGAAAAUGAGAGCGCGUUGAACGAGAAGGAGUAGAAUGGAUAGGAAGAACCUGGCCGCGGCUAUUAUUUGCAAUUAGUCGCGUUCAGACGUGCUGCCAUGCGUGCAACAAUACGCGCCGGUAAAUGCGCUAGAGUGUGACCGAGAAUGAGAAGCGAGACGGCCGAGAGAAAAGCCUGCUGGAGACUUUAAUUAUUUCGUCGUUUCUCAUGAAUAAAUAUGACUCCUGAGUGUGACGCCAAAAAUGUCUGCAAGAGCGUGAGCCGAAGCAGUACCGGACGGUACUGCGAACGGAGCAUCGAGACAAUGCCAGGAGAGAAAGAACGAGAGAAACAGAGACAGCAGUUUUAUUCCAUUAGCGAGAUCUUUCGUCGGCGCGUUCCUCGCGAAAUCUUUAAACGUUCUUCGUUUCUCUUGAAAAUACGACAGUUACUGCCCCGUUAAACGUUCCGCGAUGAAAUUUACGAUUAUCGUGAUCGCCUUGACAUAAAAGUGGAAACGCGGGUAAAACGACUCAGCGAUUUCUAAUCUUAUCGACGUGGUCGUAAGGGUGAACUGCACGAACAAAGAGAGGAAAAUAAUAAAAAUAAUAGGAGAUAGAAGGUUAGAGACCGCGCGUCGUUCUCGCCUGAAACGUCGUUUGGAUUCAGCGUCUUUUUAGCGGGGAUACUUUCCCGCUAAACGAACGAUUAUCGUUAAUUAGAAACCGUUCGCGCUGUGUUGCUCGUUAACGCUCGAAACGGUCGCUCGAUGUGAAAAGGAAUUUUCGUAGCGCGCAGAGAAGGAAGACAAUGUCCGUGCGUUACGACGAGAAAGUUGAAGGAAAAGGAAACGGUCGUAAGCGAAAUGAAUUUCCUUAUGUACUCCUCGCAGUUAGAACGGCCGUACCGAUUGGCUUCGUUCCAAUCUCGCAUAAUCUCUGGUAGACGAGAAACGCCUCCGGGUUUCGCCUAGUUGCGCUUUAGCUCCUCAGGGCUGAAUCGUGGAAAGAGAAGAAAGCCCACGGAGAUAUCUACGGGAAUACCGAGUAUCUGGAAACGCAAUGAGAACUAAGAUAGGAGACAAUAGGGAAAUCCGAGUCCCUGGAAAGCAUCUUCGGAGCUAUCGCGUCUUUCCUCCCUCUAUUACAGAUUUUCAACUCUAUUUUUUGCUAUUUCUGCUUUUAUCGUACUGCUAUGCGUACAAAACUUUUUAUGCGCUCUUGCAAUUUCAUAUAAUAUACUUGACACCAAAAAAUGAAGAAAACGCGCAAUAUAAAUACUUUCUUCCUUUUUCAAUCGUCUUUUCGCACGUUGCUAGAUGGCAAACGUUAAUUGCACGUAAACUUCGAAAAAGGAACGCACGAGAAACGCCGCUUUGACGUUUUUUUUCUUCUUCCUUCUUGUAUUUACGAAACUGAAAGUAGCCUUUCGUCGUCGUUUUUCUCGACGCUUUUAAUCGCGCUAAAGCGAAUAGAAACGCAGUAGAAAGAACGUUUCGCUGGUGUUGCAAAGCGAAAAAUACGCGUACGUAAUAAUGCCGAGCAUGUAUAAUCGGUCGUAAACGGUGUUGGUAGCUACUCGUUGCAACCUAGCCAACGAGGAAUUAAUUUCUCUAUCCUUUUCUCGAAAUUCCAAAGAAUUAUUACGAGAAAAUUUUCUUUUAAUUCGAGAGAAAGAGAAUAAAUGAGAGCGCGCGUUUUCGUGGAAACGGUAGUUUUUAUUUUUCACCUCGAGAGCCAACCUACCUCGACAAUAGACAUAAACUGAGAGAGAAUCAAAAAAGGGAAUCGCGCUGUAUCUGAUUAAAAUUGAUAAAGUUUAAUCAAAUCCUUGCGUGAAGUUGCACAAGUCGUAUUUUUCGAAGAAAAUACGAGAAGCCCAUUAAUGAAUGACUUUAAUGAAUGGCGAGAAUAUUAACGAGGACUCGAGGGAUUGCAAUGAAAAAGAAAAAGAACAAAAAAAAAAGCUUUUUGUUAACUGCAAAGUACAUUCGAUUCUCCAUCGACACGCAUCGAUACGUCGUCGAGACCAUUUUUGAAUACGAUCGUAAAGGUCAUAAAGUUGAAAAGCUAUUAAAAUAUUCGGUAUCGUCGCCCGACGCUCGUUUCUACGCGUUUACCGCCAAUGUACAAAACUUUUCAGGAUAGAACAUUUUCUCUCCGGCUAUGCAGGAAAUCCUUCUCCGGAGAUAAAUCAACGUUGUUCCUUUUCUUUUCGAAACAUGGAAAUGGUUAAAGUGCGAAAGCUUGACGGGACAUAGGUACGAAGGUCUCGAAAAAGUACCUACUAUAAAAAAGACCAGAAAUGGAUGCAGCUAGAAAAAAGAGAUGGGUUUGUUGGUCGAAUCUUUCUUGUUAUAUUUCACGCUGCCCGUAUCUUCCUUUACUCGCCACCCGUAUUUGCGUUUACUUGCAACCAGCUUCGCCGUGAUAAAUCACAGCUCGAAGGAGAGCAAAAUGUUUGUAGAAAAGUACGGUGCGAGCCAAAAAUAAAGUACGAUUCCUUUCGUCCCAUGAAAACCGAUAUGUUCUUCGGGGAAAACCUAUGUAUCCUAUUCCAUGGAUAUUUUACAGAGUACCUAUCUCUUAUAGUAGAUAUAACACUUUAUACGAUAACAUAAACUCAACCGGCUCGUUGGAAUAAAAUAAUAUCUUCUCUGGAUCUAACGCAUCAAAGUUUUUUCCUUUUUUUUUUUUUUUUUUUUCUUUUUUGAAAUUAUGAAAUUAUGUCACUAUGAAGUAUCGGAAUACAUAUAAUAAACUCGUUGAGCAAGUAAAAACGAACAAAUAUUUUCUAUAGUUUUCAUCUUCUAAAAUGGGUAUGAAAAAUGAUGAGAAGCAGGGUGAAACGAUCCUACAAAAAGUAUGCAAAUUUUUAACAGCAUCCUGUAGCUAUAAUAACGUAGCGAAUUUUUCGCCAAAGAACUUGCAUUCGGAAGAAUGUAAUUCUAGUGGCAUUUUCUUGGCACACUGACUUUUUCUCUCCUUUUUCUUUUCCAGCUUUCAUUUUACGAUCGAGGAGGAAUUUAAAUACGAACAAUCACGGCGCUUCGAACGGAACUCUAAACGGAAAGUGGAAAUGAAAGAAAAGAACGAGUUGGUCUUUUCAAAAAAAUAUAUACAUAGCUUCGAGGAGAAAGAACGAAAAUCGUCAUACCGUUAUAAAUCUUUCGACGAGAUAUGAGAAGAAGAAGAAUGUGCUUACGUGCCACUUUUCGCUGAAGGCUGAAUCGACGGUGAAUUCUAGAGAGAGAGAGAGAGAGAGAGAGAGAGAGAGAGAGAAUCAACCUUUCGCAAGCCGAGAAGCAUCCGACGAAUCAUUUAUGAAUCACGUACUUACAAGACUCGAUAGGAGGCUUCGUACGAUUCGACCAACUCUAUCUUUCUCUCCAACUUUCUUACGCUUUUUCUCUUACAACACACGCGAACGAUAUACUCGAUCACUUUUCACCUUCCAAAGAAGAAGAGGAAGAAGAAGAAGAAGAAGAAGAAAAAGAAGGAACCACUUCGAGAGAUACGUUCGAAAAUCUUUCAAGAAUCAAAAAAUAUCAAGAGUGGGCAAAACAAAAAAGUUUAACUUUGUUUCCUUUUUCCAACUUUCAGCAACAUACAUACAUACGUGGAGAGGAGCGCGAUAAGCUCGUUCGAAUUUCUCGUAUGGACAAAGUUAGCAUUUUCUCCGUAAAAAGCUUCCUCUUAAGGAAAGCAUUCGAGAGAGCUUCCAAGGAACAUUGUUUCGGAAAACGGAGUUAUAAGAGAGACAACGAUAAUACCGUUGAAAGACAAUGGAAGACGUUGAUGGACUAAGACACUGAUAACCUCUUAUAGGAUAGUCAGCAAGCUAGCUGAAUGUACCAUGAAUAUUUCAAGUUCGCUGCAGUAACGCAGAAGGAAGGAAGCCAUUGAGGAACGAUUUAACGGACAAAUUGGACUAAAGACCAUCAUUCGACGUUGCUUCUUGAUGAGCCUGCUAAGCCGUUGAGUCCUUUGAGCGCAUGUAAGCGUUUUUCCGUUCAAUUGAAAAUCGUCUACAAGUUCAUCCUUGAGGUCGUUUGCAUCCCU